rnacentral:lncRNA from 1 species
CAACGCUUGCCUUGUGAUGUUCCACUUGCGCCCCGUGCCCGACCAAGCGCCCGCUUCCCAGCUGGGUUUCUCCUUGUGAGGAAGAGUGCUGGUGCUCGGCUUCCCCAGGGGUCGCAGCCCCAACCUGCACCCAAUCUCCCCGUCCGAGCGGCAGGGGAUCCUGCCAGGCGGGGGACCCCUCUCCCCCGGGGUCCCUCUCCCCUCUCCCCGUUCCCCUCCUUUCCGACGGGGCUUUCCCGGGGGGUCGCGACCCACCUGCAGCAGCAGCGCCGCCCGGCACCAGCACCGCCGGCAGGACCGGCACCAGCACCGCCAGCACCGCCGCCACCGGCAGCAGCAGCGGCAGCGGCGGCCGCCGCGUCCCUCGCCCCAUCUCCGAGCCCCCGGCCGCGGCGCCGCCCGCCCCGCCGCCCCGCGGCGCUCCGGGCCCUGCGCGGCAUCAGCGGGGGCCCCGCGCGGCCCCGCCGCCGCCCGCCGCGCUCCGCCGCCCGCCGCCGCCCCGCGCCCCGCCGCCGCCGCCCCGCUCCGCCCCGCGCCGCUCCGCCCCGCGCCCAUCCGACCCCGUCCGAUCCCAGCCGCGGCGGGGGUGCGGGGGGGGGCUCGGCAGCGCCCCGCGGAGCGCUUCGGGGUCUCCAGGGGAGGGAGGGCGGAGAGGUGCCGAGCGCCGGCUCGGCUGCUCGGGGCCGCGCCGCCGCCGAAACGCUCCCCGGGGGGUGCUCGGGCUGCGAGCUGCUGGCAGCAGCCGGCCGCCUGACCCGCGGGGCUGCGUGGUCUCUGUGUCCGUACCCUGAAAGGUGCAGGUCGGCCGAUCUCGGUCCACUUGCUGAUUUUUCAGCGCCAGCUUGCACACCGCAGAGGCGGUUCGCUGGCAUUGCUGCGGUCAUUUCGCCCUGCUCCGCGGGCGGGCACAAGCCCUGUGCGCGUCUAGGCAGCGCCUUCCAGCCCCCGGCACAUGCCGGGACCCCGCGGCCGCCGGCGGGGCCUCGUCCCGCAGCCUCCCGGCGCCGGUCAGAGCCCGAGCGAUCGCUGCUGCGCCAACACGCUCGGCACCAGCGGCGGCUGGGGUCUGCGAGCACGGGGGAGCAGUUGUCUGGGCAGGGGGAGUGGGAGAUGCUGGGGAGGAGAAGAAAAGGCUGGCAGGGGCAGGGAAAGCUCUGGAGAAGGCCCUGGGCAGGAGGACGAGAGAUUGCACUGGACAAAUGCGCGACAGAGUCCUGA